rnacentral:rRNA from 1 species
GAUGAACGCUGGCGGCGUGCCUAAUACAUGCAAGUCGAGCGAAUGGAUUAAGAGCUUGCUCUUAUGAAGUUAGCGGCGGACGGGUGAGUAACACGUGGGUAACCUGCCCAUAAGACUGGGAUAACUCCGGGAAACCGGGGCUAAUACCGGAUAACAUUUUGAACCGCAUGGUUCGAAAUUGAAAGGCGGCUUCGGCUGUCACUUAUGGAUGGACCCGCGUCGCAUUAUCUAGUUGGUGAGGUAACGGCUCACCAAGGCAACGAUGCGUAGCCGACCUGAGAGGGUGACCGGCCACACGGGGCCUGAGACACGGCCCAGACUCCUACGGGAGGCAGCAGUAGGGAAUCUUCCGCAAUGGACGAAAGUCUGACGGAGCAACGCCGCGUGAGUGAUGAAGGCUUUCGGGUCGUAAAACUCUGUUGUUAGGGAAGAACAAGUGCUAGUUGAAUAAGCUGGCACCUUGACGGUACCUAACCAGAAAGCCACGGCUAACUACGUGCCAGCAGCCGCAGUAA